rnacentral:rRNA from 1 species
AGCGAACGCUGGCGGCAGGCCUAACACAUGCAAGUCGAGCGGCCGUAGCAAUACGGCAGCGGCAGACGGGAGAGUAACACGUGGGAACGCGCCCUUCGGUUCGGAAUAACUCAGGGAAACUUGGGCUAAUACCGGAUACGCCCUUACGGGGAAAGAUUUAUUGCCGAAGGAACGGCCCGCGUCCGAUUAGCUAGUUGGGGAGGUAAUGGCUCACCAAGGCGACGAUCGGUAGCUGGUCUGAGAGGAUGACCAGCCUCACUGGGACUGAGACACGGCCCAGACGCCUACGGGAGGCAGCAGUGGGGAAUAUUGGACAAUGGGCGCAAGCCUGAUCCAGCCAUGCCGCGUGGGUGAUGAAGGCCCUAGGGUUGUAAAGCCCUUUCGGCGGGGAAGAUAAUGACGGUACCCGCAGAAGAAGCCCCGGCUAACUUCGUGCCAGCAGCCGCAGUAAUAC